GCCGGGCAUGGUGACCCAUGCCUGUAAUCCCAACACUUUGGGAGGCUGAGGUGGGUGGAUCACCUGAGUUCAGGAGUUCGAGACCAGCCUGGCCAGCCUGGUCAACAUGGUGAAACCCCAUCUCUA
rnacentral:sRNA from 1 species